CGGCAGGCCUAACACAUGCAAGUCGAGCGCUCACUUCGGUGGGAGCGGCGGACGGGUUAGUAACGCGUGGGAACGUACCCUUCUCUACGGAAUAGCCUCGGGAAACUGAGAGUAAUACCGUAUACGCCCUUUGGGGGAAAGAUUUAUCGGAGAAGGAUCGGCCCGCGUUAGAUUAGAUAGUUGGUGGGGUAAUGGCCUACCAAGUCUACGAUCUAUAGCUGGUUUUAGAGGAUGAUCAGCAACACUGGGACUGAGACACGGCCCAGACUCCUACGGGAGGCAGCAGUGGGGAAUCUUAGACAAUGGGCGCAAGCCUGAUCUAGCCAUGCCGCGUGUGUGAUGAAGGCCCUAGGGUCGUAAAGCACUUUCGCCAGGGAUGAUAAUGACAGUACCUGGUAAAGAAACCCCGGCUAACUCCGUGCCAGCAGCCGCGGUAAUACGGAGGGGGUUAGCGUUGUUCGGAAUUACUGGGCGUAAAGCGCGCGUAGGCGGAUCAGAAAGUAUGGGGUGAAAUCCCGGGGCUCAACCUCGGAACUGCCUCAUAAACUACUGGUCUAGAGUUCGAGAGAGGUGAGUGGAAUUCCGAGUGUAGAGGUGAAAUUCGUAGAUAUUCGGAGGAACACCAGUGGCGAAGGCGGCUCACUGGCUCGAUACUGACGCUGAGGUGCGAAAGUGUGGGGAGCAAACAGGAUUAGAUACCCUGGUAGUCCACACCGUAAACGAUGAAUGCCAGUCGUCGGCAAGCAUGCUUGUCGGUGACACACCUAACGGAUAAGCAUC
rnacentral:rRNA from 1 species